ACCAGCCACACUGGGACUGAGACACGGCCCAGACUCCUACGGGAGGCAGCAGUGGGGAAUUUUGGACAAUGGGGGAAACCCUGAUCCAGCCAUGCCGCGUGAGUGAAGAAGGCCUUCGGGUUGUAAAGCUCUUUCAGCCGGAACGAAACGGUCACGGCUAAUACCUGUGACUACUGACGGUACCGGAAGAAGAAGCACCGGCUAACUACGCCAGCAGCCGCGGUAAUACGUAGGGUGCAAGCGUUAAUCGGAAUUACUGGGCGUAAAGCGUGCGCAGGCGGUUUUGUAAGUCAGAUGUGAAAUCCCCGGGCUUAACCUGGGAACUGCGUUUGAAACUACAAAGCUA
rnacentral:rRNA from 1 species